GGUGCAAGAAGGUGCUAAUGGACCAGUGACUGCCUCAAAUACAUUUUAAUGAGACUACUUCCAAGAAGCUAUGUGCAACUGAGAUAAGAAUAUGAAAGAAGUCUAGAAGCUGGAAGGAGUUGGUGGAAACCGAUUCAAAGAAGAGGAGGUGAAAGAUCAAACAACGCACAGCGACAAGUUCUGCUGCUCCAAGGAGACGAUCUAAUUCACUGAACCAAAUUACAGAGUCAGAUGGUUGGAACAUUGGAGUUUCCUUGAGUGUGGGAAAGAAUACUAACAAAAUAACACAUCUGUGUUCUGAAAUCCAAGAAUGACUGAUCACCUGUGAACCAAGUUGGGACUAAAUUUGAAGACAGUCAGAUAAAAUUUGUUACUGUGUCUUCCAUAAGAACAAAAUUCCUCCUCCUCCUGCUUCUCAUCAUAACCGAUUCAUGACUGGUGACUGCAAAGUGGACCUGCAUUGGAUUUUCCCAUAACCAGAUAAAUACAGAAAAAGUCAUGUUGCCUGUUUAUGGUGUCAAGAUGGCUCUACAGUCCUUCUUGCAGGAUUAUAGAAGCCUCAUGAAGAAAUAUCUGGGCAAGGAGACACUGGCUGUUAGGUAUUGGGGGGCAUCCUCCUUAUCUUCUGUUGCACUGAGGCCAGAUUGAGUGGCAG